AGAGUUUGAUCCUGGCUCAGAACGAACGCUGGCGGCAGGCCUAACACAUGCAAGUCGAACGAGAAGCUUCUUUCGGGAAGUAGAGAGUGGCGCACGGGUGAGUAACGCGUGGGGAUCUACCCUUUGGUACGGGAUAACGUUUGGAAACGAACGCUAAUACCGUAUGUGGUCUACGGACCAAAGAUUUAUCGCCAAAGGAUGAACCCGCGUAGGAUUAGAUAGUUGGUGGGGUAAUGGCCUACCAAGUCUACGAUCUUUAGCUGUUCUGAGAGGAAGAUCAGCCACACUGGAACUGAGACACGGUCCAGACUCCUACGGGAGGCAGCAGUGGGGAAUAUUGGACAAUGGGCGCAAGCCUGAUCCAGCCAUGCCGCGUGAGUGAAGAAGGCCUUAGGGUUGUAAAGCUCUUUCGCUAGGGAAGAUAAUGACGGUACCUAGUAAAGAAGUCCCGGCUAACUCCGUGCCAGCAGCCGCGGUAAUAAGGGCGA
rnacentral:rRNA from 1 species